UGGGGAAUAUUGCACAAUGGAGGGAACUCUGAUGCAGCGACGCCGCGUGAGUGAUGAAGGAAUUCGUUUCGUAAAACUCUGUUCUAUGGGAAGAAAAGGACUGUACCAUAGGAGAAAGCUCCGGCUAAAUACGUGCCAGCAGCCGCGGUAAUACGUAUGGAGCGAGCGUUGUCCGGAAUUAUUGGGCGUAAAGGGUUCGCAGGCGGAAAUGCAAGUCAGGUGUAAAAGGCAGUAGCUUAACUACUGUAAGCAUUUGAAACUGCAUAUCUUGAGAAGAGUAGAGGUAAGUGGAAUUUUUAGUGUAGCGGUGAAAUGCGUAGAUAUUAAAAAGAAUACCGGUGGCGAAGGCGACUUACUGGGCUCAUUCUGACGCUGAGGAACGAAAGCGUGGGUAGCAAACAGG
rnacentral:rRNA from 1 species